rnacentral:rRNA from 1 species
UACGUAGGGUGCAAGCGUUGUCCGGAAUUAUUGGGCGUAAAGAGCUCGUAGGCGGUUUGUCGCGUCGGCUGUGAAAACCCGGGGCUCAACCCCGGGCCUGCAGUCGAUACGGGCAGACUAGAGUGCGGUAGGGGAGACUGGAAUUCCUGGCGUAGCGGUGAAAUGCGCAGAUAUCAGGAGGAACACCGGUGGCGAAGGCGGGUCUCUGGGCCGUAACUGACGCUGAGGAGCGAAAGCGUGGGGAGCGAACAGG